GAGCCUUGGAGCUGAUGUAGUGACCACCCAUUUGAUGCCCGACAUCUACUACGGCUGGCCUGCCAGGAAUGUCGUGUCGCCAAUGUUCUGGAGGUUCUGCAGGCUUGGGGAUUCAAUCCCAAUUGCCUCGGAAACAUCUGACGCAGCACGUCACCGUGUUGAUGGCUUUGACUCAGGUUCCCUGUUCAUCUCGGAGCUUCGCAGUCUGUCCGUAUUCAACUGCCAUCAACUCCUGAAGAAAAGGUCAAAGAAAGCAGGAGGUUUGUAAGAAAGAAAAAGGACCAAGGGACUACAAGUUACGCUAUAAUGUCACUAACACCACCAGCUCCUACUAGUACUAGUUUUCCUGGAUUGCAGUAAUGUUGCGUUUUCUAUUGUUUCCCUUUUUUAUACUUCCAUUUAUUUUUAUUUUUUGUUGUUCUCGGCGUGCCAAAGUCUCAGCGUGAAUCAUUUAUGCAUACGUUGCAUCUUUCAAAGCAUUCAUCUAGGGAUUGAGUUGAAUCUUUUACACAACCUUCAGCUGUUACAUUUGCCUUGAGUUUCUUUAGAUUAGACUUUUUCAAAUUUUCAUUUUGAUUUCAUCGUCGAGUUUCAUCCCUUGAAUCUUUGUUCAGGUUUUUACCGUACCGUUU